GUUUGUAUGGCCCAGUUGGUAGGAGUGUGGCACUAGCAAUGCCAAGGUUGUGGGUUCAAUUCCCACAGGGAUUACAUACU